rnacentral:miRNA from 1 species
CAGGGUUGGUCAAAAAAGUUUGUUUGGGUUUUUCUAUAACUGCUUAUGGAAAAAUCCAAAUGAAUUUUUUGGUCAA